UGGGGAAUAUUGGGCAAUGGGGGAAACCCUGACCCAGCAACGCCGCGUGAGGGAAGAAGGUCUUCGGAUUGUAAACUUAUGUCCUAAGGGAAGAAAAAAAUGACGGUACCUUAGGAGGAAGCCCCGGCUAACUACGUGCCAGCAGCCGCGGUAAUACGUAGGGGGCGAGCGUUGUCCGGAAUCACUGGGCGUAAAGGGUGCGUAGGCGGCAGCAUAAGUCAUGUGUGAAAUACCCUUGCUUAACGAGGGGGGUGCAUGUGAAACUGAGCAGCUAGAGUGCAGGAGAGGAAAGCGGAAUUCCUAGUGUAGCGGUAAAAUGCAUAGAUAUUAGGAGGAACACCAGUGGCGAAGGCGGCUUUCUGGACUGUAACUGACGCUGAGGCACGAAAGCGUGGGGAGCAAACA
rnacentral:rRNA from 1 species